CUAUUACUCCCUCCGUUCGAAAUUAAAUGUCGCAAAAAUGAUAUAUCUAGACGUAUUUUAGUUCUAGAUACAUCCAUUUUCGAGACAAGUAAUUCCGAACGGAGGGAGUAUUUG
rfam:Triticum aestivum genome assembly, contig: Triticum_aestivum_CS42_TGACv1_scaffold_288348_4AL